rnacentral:rRNA from 1 species
UACGAAGGGGGGCUAGCGUUGCUCGGAAUCACUGGGCGUAAAGCGCACGUAGGCGGCUUUUUAAGUCAGGGGUGAAAUCCUGGAGCUCAACUCCAGAACUGCCUUUGAUACUGAGAGCUUGAGUCCGGGAGAGGUGAGUGGAACUGCGAGUGUAGAGGUGAAAUUCGUAGAUAUUCGCAAGAACACCAGUGGCGAAGGCGGCUCACUGGCCCGGGUACUGACGCUGAGGUGCGAAAGCGUGGGGAGCAAACAGG